rnacentral:lncRNA from 1 species
UGAUGCGCCAGAUGCACACUUAGUUUGUUCAGAAAAAUCCUCUCAAUUAGACCAGUUGGUGCAGGUCUCAUUUUUUUGGGCAGUCGCAGAGAGCAACUGUUGUCAACAAGUAGAGCAGCACCUAGCCUACUUGAGUCGCUCUGCCAGACGGCAGCAGAACAUAAGGCUGGAAAGGAGUCGGCAACAAGGCAACGACACAAAUUGCUUCAGUUGCCUUGGCUAUACAAGAAUGCAAGGCAUCAGGAUACUGGUCGCACAUGGCAAGCUGAAGGAUUGCCUCAAGUGAUAGAUGCAAAAGAGUUCAAAGAUGUAGAAAAUAUAGAAAUAGUGUCAUCUGCAUGAGGAAUUAGAAUCCAGAAAGCAAUGAGAGAAAAAUGCUAGUUUGCUCUGUUUAUA